GGGUUCGAUUCUGGCUCAGGAUGAACGCUAGCGGGAGGCCUAACACAUGCAAGCCGAGCGGGAUUUGUUGGUUAGCUUGCUAACUAAUAAUGAGAGCGGCGUACGGGUGCGUAACACGUGUGCAACCUGCCUUUAUCUGGGGGAUAGCCUUUCGAAAGGAAGAUUAAUACCCCAUAAUAUAUUAAUUGGCAUCAAUUGAUAUUGAAAGCUCCGGCGGAUAGAGAUGGGCACGCGUAAGAUUAGCUAGUUGGUGAGGUAACGGCUCACCAAGGCUGCGAUCUUUAGGGGGCCUGAGAGGGUGAUCCCCCACACUGGUACUGAGACACGGACCAGACUCCUACGGGAGGCAGCAGUGAGGAAUAUUGGACAAUGGGUGAGAGCCUGAUCCAGCCAUCCCGCGUGAAGGACUAAGGACCUAUGGUUUGUAAACUUCUUUUAUACAGGGAUAAACCUACUCUCGUGAGGGUAGANGAAGGUACUGUAUGAAUAAGCCCCGGCA
rnacentral:rRNA from 1 species